rnacentral:lncRNA from 1 species
AAGUCAGAGAAGCCUGAAUGGAUAAGGACUCAGAAUGACACGUUGAGUCCAACUGAGGAAGAGGGCUGACAGUUACUUGUUAUGGGACAGUUGUACCCAGGGAAUGAAGCGUGUUGUUGACCGAGAAGUGUGACCUCGUGCGUACUGUAUGAGAGAUGUAGCGUUGAAAAGGAUCAUUCCUCCUCAAGACGAUCGUAGGGCAAAUGGAUGAGCAGUUAUGAGUGUCCAUUCGUGGUCAAGAAGGUUUCCCCUGACAGAACCUUGUAGUUGACGACCACGGAUGACGACGAUUUUCCAUCCACUAUGAGUGCGGACGCAGUUAGAAAAUACUUCGUGAAAGAAACCCGCUGGACAAAAAAAAAAAAGAGAAUAAAGAGUCCAGGCAAAAAUGGGCAUCCCGGCGAACCAAGAAAAAAGAGAAAGGUUCGGGCAAAAGUUAGGGAUAAUAAAAGAAAAGAAUUGUACACCCGGCAAGUUGAAAACCCGCAAGGGCGACUUGGGCAAAAAAGGGUAUCCCGGUGGACUGAAACCCGAAAGGGCGGUCCGGGCAAAAGAGGGAAUGAAAC